GGGGACGGGUUUCUCCUGCUCCUUCGCCUAGGACUACAGUGAGUUUCUUCUAAAGCCUCUAGUUUUUAGGUGAGCUGUACCUCGUUGCCUUCUGCAACGUGUGGAUAAGAUGUGGGCCAUCGGUUACUGCUCCCGAGCCAUGCUGCCUGCUGUAGGGGGAAAGGACUAACCCUCUGAAACGGUAAGCAAGCUCCCAAUCAAAUGCCUUCUCUUCUAAGUUGCCUGGCUGUGGUGUCUCUUCACAGCAAAGGAACAGUAAGUGUGUGAACGUCUAUAAUCCCAGGAGGAUAAUAAACUCAAGGUCACCCUCCGCUUGAGGCCUGCCUAAGCUACAUGAGACCAUGUCUCAAAAGUAAAUAGCAUCAGUAAUGACGAAGGUAGAUGGCAUGUCUCGAUGUGAUGACAGAGCCAUGUGUAAAUCAAACCACGAGACUGCAGGACACAACUGGCUGCAGGACGUCAAUGGCAUGCUGGAUGCCUGUACUCCAGCACGUUAAGAGGUUGAAGCAGAAGGAUUUGUGAUUUUAAGGCAAACAUGAGCAACACAGCCACUUCCAGGACAGCCUGAGCUAGGCAGAAAACCUACAGAAAGCAAAAAGCAGGAGGGAAAUGGCUCACUGGGUCAAGUCAUGCUGUUCAAGAUUAAGGACUUAACUUGAGCUCAGAUACCCAACACCCAUGUAAAAGACUGACACUGAACACACAAAGGUAGCCCCAGAGCCAGGCAGGGGUCAGUAGAGACAAGAGGAGCCUGGGGCUCACUAGCCGGCUAGUCUAGCUGAAACAGAGACCUCAGGUUUAAUGGAGACUAUGAUGGUUUGAAUAUGCUUGGCCCAGGGAAUGGCACUAUUAGGUGUGGUCUUGAAGUAGGUAUGGCCUCAUAGGAGUAGGUGUGUCACUGUGGGCAGGGGCCUUAGGUCCUCUCAUCCUAGCAGUCUUUUAGCUGCUUUCAGAUCAAGAGGUGGUUCUCAGCUCCUCCAGCCUCGUGUCUGCCCAGAUGCUGCCAUGUUUCUGCCUUGAUGAUAAUGGAUUGAACUCUGAACCUGUAAGCCGGCCCCAGUUAAACCCCAGCAAACACAGAGACCCUGUCUCAAAACCUAAAGUGGGGAAAGAUAAAAGACAACAUGGACCUCCACAGGCGUGCACACCCAUGCAUGCACAUGUACAAGCACACAUGUGCAUGCACACCAGAGAGAGACAGACACCGAGACACAGAGAGAGACAGAGACACAGACAGAGACACAGAGAGAGAGACAGAGAGACAGAGAACAAGCACACGACAAACUCUGUCACGUAAAGCAAAGCAGCUAAGAAAGCGUUGAAGCCUGAAGAUGGUUCAAGGAACUCUCAACUAGAAGCAAUCUAUGAUUUUGCAUUGGAUGACAGACUGGAAAAGUAAAAACACUCUAGGGCCCAACAGUAGGUGAAACUGGAAGGUGGGCUCUACAUAAAUAUAGACUGCAUUUGUUUUCUGGUCUUAAGAAUCAAGUACCUCGAAAGAAACAUAUACUUAGGUACUUUCAAGGGUAAAGAGACCGGAGGUCCCUAACUUGCUCUCAAAUGGCUCAGUAAACAAACAUGGCAGAUCAGGGCAAUAGUCACAGUCUUGGGGAAGGGGGUGCCGUCAUACUAUUCUCCCAGCUAGUGCGGGCACAUGCUGGUGGUAUGGGCAUGUGCUUUGUAUACACUAUGUACUGGGUGUGAGAUUCCAUGGGCACAGGCAUGCCCAUGGGGGCCAAAGGACAACUUGGGUGUCAUUCCUCAGAUACCCUCCCCUCUGGUUUUGCUGAAACAGGUUUUUUCACUGACCUGGAGACCACCACGUAGAUUAGGCUGACUGGGCAGCAAGCCAGGAGCCAUGGUUGUUUUUUUUUUUUUUUUUUUUUUUGUUUUGUUUUUUUUUUUUUUUUUUUUUUUUUUAAUGUGGGUUCUAAGGAUCAAACUUAGGUCCUGAGUAUGUAAGGUAAUAUUUAACAGCUAAGUCAUUCCCCAACCCCUCAAAACUAAGUUUUAUAAAAGAUGUAUGUCUAAUGACAGUUAAUGCUGGUGAAAAUGUGGAGCAGGAGGAACACUCCUCCAUUGCUGGUAGAAACGCAAACUUUUACACUCACUGUGGAAAUCAGUAUGGCAGUUCCUCACAAAAAUAGGAAUUGAUCUACCUCAAUAUCCAGCUAUACCACUCUUGGACAUAUACCCAAAGGAUGCUUCAUCCUACCACAGAGACUUUUCUCAUCCAUAUUCAUUGCUGCUCUGUUCAUAAUAGCCAGAAAUUAGAAAUGACCUAGGUGUCUCUCAAUGGAAGAAUAGAUAAAGAAAUGUGGUACAUUUGCACAAUGGAACAUUACUUGGUUGUUUAAUAAAAAUGAUAUCAUCAAACUUCCAGGCAAAUGAAUGGAACUAGAAAAAAAUCAUCCUGAGUAAGGUAACCCAGACUCAGAAAGAUAAAUAUGGUAUAUAUCCACUUAUAUAUGAAUAUUAGCUAUGAAAUAAAUUAUAACCAAGCUACAAUCCAUAGACCGGGAGAAGACAGGCAUAAAGAAGGGGACUGGGGUGAGUGGGGGGAUGACAAAUAGAACUCCCUGGAAGAUAAAAACACUUAUGGGUAGAAUGCAUGCAGGGAAGGAGGAGAAUGAGACUGGGAGGAUCAAGGGGAGGAGUUGGAACUGAGGGAGGGACUGGCGGGGAGACUAGGAUUGAAGGGCACGGGGUGGGGGCAGGAUGAAAUGACUCCUAAUGAUAUUCUGCUAUACUUAUAGUCCAUCAAAGAGGCUUCCUCCUACAGCAGAUGGGAACAAAUACAGAGACUCAUAGCUGGACACUAUACACAGGGAGAGACCUUGGAACGCAGUUUUAAACGAGAUAAAAUUCCUCCCUUUCAGAGAUCAGGGAGCCCCACAGAAGAGGCAGGAGUGGGAGAGACAGGAAUGGAGGACACCAGAACAAGCUUCUCUAAAACAACCGAGCAGAGCUCAUAUGAACUCAUAGAGACUGAAGGCAUAGGCCUACACAGGUCUGCAUCAAGUGCCUGUAAAGUCACUAUAGCUUUCAGUGUGGCACUUCCACAGGACUCCUGAAUGUGUGAACAAGCGGGUCUCUGAUUCUUGUGCCUGCUCUUGUGACUUUUAUUUUUCCGUUGGUUUGUCUUGUCCAACUUCUAUAUGAUGGUUUUUGUUUUCUUGUUAUAUUUUGUUAGAAAAAAGAAAUAUAUUUAACCAGAAAAAGAGAUGUGCCUGCGGUCCUGAACUGAGGCAAAGCACCAAGUGAGAUUACAGCUAUUAUUCAAUGGCAGGAGAGACCACUCAAAAGAAAUGCAAAAGGCCCUGGAGGCAAGGCUCAGUGGACACCACAUCACACAGGAACCUUUGCAUUUCAACCCAGAACCAAAGAGGAACAAAAGAGAAAUGUAGGUGGAGGGGAGAGGAAGGGAAGGAGGAAAUAGGCGAUUCCAUUUAUAUUUAGAAUCAGAGAGCAAGUAAGAUCUGAAGUCAUACCCGCUGCUUUAACAGACCCAAGAGUUCUGCUCAGAACAGAUUAGAGAGGGGAGAGAGCAAGGGGGGUACAGAUCCAAAAGUGAGAAGUGGGGGCAUGAAAGCACAGGAAGGGAACAACUGACUUGUUACAUUGUAAUUGGUCAGCACUCAGGGGUCGGGCAGAUGGCUCAAAGCUAAGGACGUCUGUCCCAGAAAUGAAGCAAUGCUUCUGGUUCCCACUCAGUCCCAGAGUGAAGCCAAUGACUCCUAAGGCCAAGCUGUCCAGUUUUCAGAGGGCAUUCACCCUGACCCAAUUUGACUUCCACAUCUAAGCUUGACCCAGACUGCUACCGGUUUUCAAUUCUCACUUCAUUUGUAACUCUUGGCUGAGAUCCCUGAGUCCUAGGCAGAGGGCUUCUAUCUGACCUCAGAGUCAACCAGUCAAAUUUAGAACCAGGGAACUGAGGAAUUACACGCGCACACACACACACACGCACACGAAGGGAAAGUCAGAAUCCAGAAUCUAACCCAUAAACCAAACACAGCCGUUUUUUACCCCAUUUGAGACCUUUUAUUAAUGAAAUCGAGCUCACAGAGAGCAGGCAGUAACAGCAGAGAGCCGGGACAAACGUGAAUACAAAGCGACCUGCAGGACAAGCACUGGCCAGAGCCUUGCUUUCAAGGGAGCCAGGUAGCCCUAGGUAAAACAGCUUCACCAAACCAAAAAGACCAACGGAUUCUCCCAGUUCAGAGAGCAAAUACGACAAAGGCUCUCUGACACAAACACACCCCAAACUCUGCAUCGGCCCGUUAUUUGGGCAGAGAAAGUAAGAGCAUUGCAUCUGAGAUAGGGGAAACCUGGACUUGAUGUUUUCAUCACCCUUCACCACGGCAGAAAUGCUGGAGACUUCUGCUAGGGCCACGGAUUCCAGAUCUUUGCACCAUAGUGUGAGGAACUGAAAAUGACCAAAGUGUCAAACACCACCACCAGACAAAAGCUUCCUUCUUGGGCCCACACAGAGAACAUCAACACACCCAAAUCAACAUAUCCGACAUACUGCUGGAUAGGAAAAGCCAAGUGGAUGAAAACCAUAAAGAGGUGGGGUGUGGGGGGGAGGCACAGAAAUCUUUUCAAAUAGAGUUUGGUUAGGUAUGAAGACACUGGAAAUUUUUUUAUUUUUAUUUAACUUGUAGGGGGUAGGGUAGAGAGCUGAAUCAGUGGUUAAGAACACUGACUGUUAUUCCGGAGGACCAGGUUUGAUGCAUCUACAUGGUAGCUCAUAAAAGUCUUUUAAUUCCAAUUACAGCAAAUCCAAUUAAUGCCCUAUUCUAGUCCACCGCCUUGGGUACUGCGUGCACACGGUGCAAACAUACAUGCAGGCAAACACCCAUGCACAUUAAGGAAGAACUGUGUGGCCUGUGCAUGGAUAGGGCGUUCAGGUGGGCUCACUGGAGGUUGAGGAGGUAACUGCAGCCGGCUCUUCCCUCCUCCACGGGUUCCGAGAUUGGGGUCAGGUUGUCAGAUCUGUACAACACACACUUAGCUGCUGAGCCAUCUCGUCAGCCUGAAACUAGAGAUUUUUAUAGUAAAAAAACACACAAUUGAUGUUUAUUUUUGGUUUUGUCCCUAUAGAAUGUUGAUUCUUAAGACAGUUUCUAAUUUCCAAUGACAAACACUAACUUAGUGGUAGGGUUUUUGUUUUUUUUUUUUUAAGAUUUAUUCAUUUAUUAUAUAUAAGUACACUGUAGCUGUCUUCAGACACACCAGAAGAGGGCAUCAGAUCCCAUUACAGAUGGCUGUGAGCCACCAUGUGGUUGCUGGGAUUUGAACUCAGGACCUCUGGAAGAGCAGUCGGUGCUCUUAACCACUGAGCCAUCUCUCCAGCCCGGUAGGGUUUUUUUGUUUGUUUGUUUGUUUGUUUUGUUUUGUUUUUUAAUUAAAUCCUAUUUUCACUGACUAAACUAUCAGUAUUUAAUAUAGCUAAAACAAGGUAUGAGGUAAUUUCCCCCUAAAUGGGGUGGGAGGAGAAACAAGACUUGGUUACAGAAAUUCAUUUUAGGAAAAGUUCAAAAGAGUCAAAAUAUAAUCAGUAACUCAAGAUCUUUAAAUGUGGGAAGGCAUAGAAGGAAAAUCUAGAUAAAUCUCAGCACGGUGAUUCGGGAAAAGCUCAAAGCCUACUUGAGAUGAAUUCAGACAUUACGACCUGGAGAAUACCCUUGGACAUGUGCUCUAAUCCAAGGGCAUGCUGAUGGCUGAAAGGACUCUCAGGUGGGAGGAACCACAGCAGUCCCUCAGGGCCACCGCCUCACUCACACUCAGCAACAUCAACACUCUCCCCUCGCUGUGGAUCCUAAAAUGGCAUCUCUCUACCUUUCGGCUCUAUGUAACUUGCAAGCCAAGCAUGGUGGUGCACACCUGUAAUCCCAGCACUUGGAAGGCAAUGUUAGAAAACUACUGUGAGUUCGAGGCCAGACUAAUUUACACCCAAAGUUCCAGGCCAGCCAGGGCCACAUAAUGAAACCCUCUCAAAAAUGAGUAAGAUUACUGAGCUGUGAGGUGACACAAACUUGACAUCAACACCUAUCUGUAAAAAACAAAAAACAAAAACAACAAAACCACAUAGCUUACCAUCCUCAAAAGGAGUUUAAAAUUUUCAAAAUAAAAUAUUCAUGGGGCUAAAUGUGUGGCUUGGCUGAUGAAGUGUUUGCUUAGCACGCAUGAAGUCCUGGGUUUGAUGUUAGGCAUGGUAAUACAUGCCUAUAAUCCCAGCAUUCAGAAGGUGAAGGGUCCAACGUUCAAAGUCACCCUAGAAUACACAGUGGGUUCAAGGCCAGUCUGGAAUAGAUGAGACCCUGCCUCAAAACAAGAAGAUUUAAGCGUCUAGAUAAAGGAGACUAGAAAUGGGUCUGGAAGCUUAGACCCCCUCACCUAAACGAUUCAAAUUCAUGAAGCUACCCAGCAACAAUGUUACCAGAAAGCCCCUGAGUUACAAGAACUCAUUCACUCAAAGCUGAGAGAAAAGAUUGGCCUUCACAAGUUACAACUAUGCAGUAACAUGGCUACCACAUAGGUCAAGGGUUCUUGCUAUGGUCAGUUCAGUGAAAGCACAGAACCCUCCUUGUCUUCUGAGAAAAUCCUACACACCUAGUUAGCACAACGCAAGCAUGAUGAAGAGCGAUACAUGACCAUCAUGCUGUUCGGUUCUGAAAUUUUAUAAACUAUGAGAAUUCCAAAGUAUGACGUCAUCACUCACAGAAGUGACGGAACAGAAAAACAACCUGUGGUUCAUGGACAAUGAUCACAUGCUAUUGUUUAGCUUAGCUGGAAGCAGUUCCUUUCACCCUCCCUGCUGACAACAGUGAGAUUUGGGUCACACACACACUGGCAAGCUAAUCUGACCGGACUUGUCUGUCAGGCUUACAGCCCACAGCCUGAUUUGUAAACUAAGCAAACCAUGGACUAGGGGAAAACCACCCAAAAAGCUCCUCACACUAACACUCACGGCCUUAACCUUUAAAGUUUCCCUGAGGAGACCCACAGUCACAGCAAAAGAAAGCUGCUUCUGUCCUCACUUCACAUCCUGGAGGACAAUUCUAGAACCAUGGAUAGUCUUUUUAAAACCAGUGAACUGGGAGUCUUCAAUUCCUCAUUUACAUGAAACACUGAAUGUGUCUAGUCCUUCACCUGGAAACAACAGGAUGAAAAUUGCCUAAAGACAGAGGAGCCCAACAUCACCAAGCUGAGAAAGAGGCAAUAAAAGAACUCAGCACUUCACAUCCAAAAUACAGUCAUGCCCUGAAUUUUCAGGGCAUAAAAACCCUGUUCUAUGUUUUUUUCUAAUCUAUAAACAAUUUCUGGCCACAAAAUAAUGUCUCCUGUUUCCAGACAGCAGUUUCUGCACUUGCCUGAGGCCCUUCCAGCCAACAUCUGAGUCCUUGAUUCGCAAACAAGAAAACAUAAAGUAAGAGGUGAAUUAGAACCCUCACAUCCUAUAUCUCACUGAAACACUAAGAGUAAAAGCUCCACCUGGGCAGGGCCCAGGUCUAGGCCACCUGAGGGGCAUAAUAAAAUACAGAUACAUCAUCUCCCAACUCAAGAAUUUCUGAGGGUGAACUUCUAAACGUUCUACACCAAACAAGCUCCCACAUCAAUUUAGCCUGAAGAACAGAUCCUGAAUCCCUAUCUAUCCGCAGUAGUCUGUUCCUCUGCAUACCAAAGGCCAUGCCAAGCACGUUCAAGCUGCACCAUCACCCUAACCUCAGUCAGUCACAUUGAGGCUUUAUAUGGCCAAAACAGGUCAGUGGAUGCAGUCUCCACUUCACCCCCUACCUACUAACUUCUCAGCUAACAGCACCCAUCAUGCAUCACUUCAGGGUGUCUUCUUAAUGAUGAAUGCAGAUGGUGCCAAAUUCCCCCCCAAACUGGUAAUGAUCCUGGAUGGAAUCCUCCAGGGGCAGCGCUGAAUAUAAACUUCACGAAAAUCACUAAGUUUCACUUCCAGAACAGCCAUUACUGUAGGUACUCUCAAGAUCAGAUGAAAUAACCUUUCAUUUAACAUUUCAAUAUACAAAAACACGAGUGGAUCACAUUUUAAACUCAUUUUUAAAGGUGUAGGACUUUACAGAAAAGAGGCAACAACUUUACUGUCCAAUUUAAGAGUGUACUGACUGACUCUGUAAAUGCAUUUUCACCACAAUGAAACAAUUACCUCCAAUUAAAUCAUCAGCCAAGCACUGUCCAGCUGCAUUCCUAACAGCUAGGUCAGGCUUUCUGCUUCUGUGAGGGAAACCUUCUCAAGGUACCAGGAAUUUAAAACAGUGGAAGACUGAAAACUGUACUGUGAACUUUUUUAAAAAAGAAAGAAUUCAACAUAAGCAAUUUUAAGCCAGGCAUGAGAGCACACAAUUCCACUCUUCAAGAGGACGACGACAAAUUUGAGCCCAAACAGGACAAUAGUAAAAGCCCUGUCUCAAAAAACAAAAGGAGGGAGAACGAGGACGAGGAGGCAGGGAGGGAGGGAAGGAGGGAGGGAGGAGGACUGAGGAAGGAAAGAACCAAUUGGUUAGUUUGGGAAGUGAGGGAUUAAAAGAUUAGUCCUAGUUGAGAAAGUAGGGAUCACUUCUCAGCCCACUGCGAGCUCGGCUGAGGCUGAGGAUGGAUGCGUAGCUAUCUUAUCUCUAGGAUUAAAAGCUUAUACCCGAGGCAAGACACAUUUCAGAAGACAGGACACUCUUGAAAUACAGAAUUUUAUUUAAAAACUGUUUAAAGUAGAAAAAAACCCUGUCAAGAAAGACCAGGUGGAAAAUGGGUUCCCAAUAAAAUGGAAUUGGGGUCAACAGAAGUCUGAAAGGCCACAGAGGAGGAAACAGCACCGCUGUCGUUGAACAAUGGCUAGUUAACUUACUUUUUUUUUUUUUUUUUUUGGCAUUGUUAAUCACUGAAUCUGGAUUUUCCUCUGAAUUCCACAGAGCAUGCAC